ACUCCUACGGGAGGCAGCAGUGGGGAAUAUUGCACAAUGGGGGAAACCCUGAUGCAGCCAUGCCGCGUGUGUGAAGAAGGCCUUCGGGUUGUAAAGCACUUUCAGUAGGGAGGAAGGUAGUGUAGUUAACACCUGCAUUAUUUGACGUUACCUACAGAAGAAGCACCGGCUAACUCCGUGCCAGCAGCCGCGGUAAUACGGAGGGUGCGAGCGUUAAUCGGAAUUACUGGGCGUAAAGCGCAUGCAGGCGGCCUGUUAAGUCAGAUGUGAAAGCCCGGGGCUUAACCUCGGAAUUGCAUUUGAAACUGGCAGGCUAGAGUCUUGUAGAGGGGGGUAGAAUUUCAGGUGUAGCGGUGAAAUGCGUAGAGAUCUGAAGGAAUACCAGUGGCGAAGGCGGCCCCCUGGACAAAGACUGACGCUCAGAUGCGAAAAGGCGUGGGGGGAGCAAAACAGGAUUAGAUACCCUGGUAGGAUAGC
rnacentral:rRNA from 1 species